AUACGGAGGGUGCAAGCGUUACUCGGAAUCACUGGGCGUAAAGCGCGCGCAGGCGGGCUGAUAAGUUGGAUGUGAAAGCCUACGGCUCAACCGUAGAACUGCAUCCAAAACUGUCAGUCUAGAGUCUGGGAGGGGAAGAUGGAAUUAGUUGUGUAGGGGUAAAAUCCGUAGAGAUAACUAGGAAUACCAAAAGCGAAGGCGAUCUUCUGGAACAGUACUGACGCUGAGGCGCGAAAGCGUGGGGAACAAACAGGAUUAGAAACCCUAGUAGUCC
rnacentral:rRNA from 1 species